rnacentral:rRNA from 1 species
CCUACGGGAGGCAGCAGUGGGGAAUAUUGCACAAUGGGGGAAACCCUGAUGCAGCGACGCCGCGUGCGUGAAGACGUCUUUCGGUAUGUUAAGCUCUAUCAGUAGGGAAGUAAAUGACGGUACCUGUUUAAGUAUCCCCGGCUAACUACGUGCCAGCAGCCGCGGUAAUACGUAGGGGGCACGCGUUAUCCGGAUUUACUGGGUGUAAAGGGAGCGUAGGCGGGAGCACAAGUCUGGAGUGAAAUGCCGGGGCUUAACCCCGGAACUGCAGUGGAAACUGUGCAGCUAGAGUGCAGGGGAGGUAAGUGGAAGUCCUAGUGUAGCGGUGAAAUGCGUAGAUAUUAGGAAGAACACCGAUGGCGAAGGCGGCUUGCUGGACUGUAACUGACGUUGAGGCUCGAAAGCGUGGGGAGCGAACAGGAUUAGAUACCCGGGUAGUC